rnacentral:piRNA from 1 species
CUUGGAGAAUGGUGGCUUAG